GAAACAGAAUCAAGUGGAUAUGGAGAGAGAGAAAAAGAUUUAUCUUAAGUCAUUGGCUCACACAACUGUAUAAACCUGGUGAAUCUAAAAUCUGACUGGGGAGGCCAACAGACUGAGGACUGACUCAGGAAAAAGUUGAACUUCAAGUCUGAAGACAGUCUGCUGGUGAGCCAGGAAAAGCCAAUGUUGCAGAUGAAGUUGGAAAGCAGUCUGCUGGCAGAACUUCCUCUUGCUCAUGGGAGGGUUUAUCUAAGUGUCACCCCCUUCAAAGCUGAAAAAUACACAGGAACAUCAUCAACGGUGCUUAGUACUUCUCAUGUGGCCCCAUGAUCAUCAUGUUUGAGAUACUUCUGCAAGAAGCUCCAAACAGUGAACUACUGAGAGAACACUUGUGGGAAUAUUUGCAGAGACAAACAAAUGUCAUCUUAAAAUACCAGCUACUGUAACUUACCCACAACAAGUAGGCUUCUUGGUCUGUAUUAACCCUGUAGGUACUAUUGUUGAAAUAGGCAUCUCCCCUACUCAGGAAUGUGGGCAAAUCUGAUCAUGCCUCUUUAAGGUUCUAAUUUGACAGAAGCACGUGAAUAAGCAAUCAUUUAGAAGAGUAUAUGCCUCCAAAUCAGAGCAAUACAAAUAAGAGCAGGGAAAGCUAUUUCACUUCACUGCUCAUUUCCCAAGUAUCCAAGUAAAACACUUCCUUAAAGUGUCACAUGCAUUAAAACACAAAGGAGAAAAACAGGCAGAGGUAAGCAAAGUUUAAAUCUGUAAAUCUGUUCUUUAAGACUCCAAUUAAUAAAAACUCAGGGAUUCUACUUGGAAUAUCCUACCCAUAACAUCAUAAUGUCAAUAAUCCAACAGUCAAGAGCCCCAGAAUCAGGGUCUAGAAUGCCAGAUGAAGAAUAGAGAGGAAUCCCCGUGAAUCCUGGGGUUUUGUAUAAUGGCAAACACUAAGAAGUAAGAUAGAAAGAGUGAAAUCCUAUUGACACUGUUGAGUCUGGACACCAUCCUAAAAAUGUCCUGUUUCACUAAUUGGAAGGGCAUCCAAGUAAGGAGAAGCUUGAUGCCAUAUGACAACAUCAGGUACUCAGCUCAUUUCUCUCUCUCUUUCUCUCUCUUUUCCUUUACGUCACCAAGGACAAACUCAGGAUGUUGACAGGACAGACUUUUGUAGGCAAACGGUUUGGCCAAUCUCUCACCAGUAUAUUAACCACAUGGGCAAAGAAAAUAUUUUUUCAAAAUGGAUGUUUUUGCUUUAGGGUGGAGGGAUAUGAUAUUUUUCUUUCUAUCUUAAUUUCCUUCCAUGUUUAUGUUUAAAAUUACUUAGUAAGUAAAAGUAAUGGUUAUGUUAGAUAAAAUUCAUUCACCACCCUUAAUAUGACUCAGUGACUCAAAGACAAAGUUCCAGAGCAAAGGGUCAAUCUUGUGAGAGAGGUCAUGCAGAAUUUACAAAACAAAAUUUAUACAGAACACUCAGAAGUAUAAAAAAGAUGAAGUUCAUUAUUGUUUAUAAUUACUCACUUACUCUGAAGCUACCUUUCCUCCUGCUGGCAGAGAAAAAUUCAAAUUAAUUAAAUUAAUUUUAAUUAAGGG
rnacentral:lncRNA from 1 species